UUAAUCAUUCAACGCCGGCGGCGUGGAACAAUUUUUUAGAGGUCAAAGCGAAAGGUUCUCCCUAAGUUUCCCAGAAACCAGCCUUUGGGGACCCGGAGGUGGCAGCGGCAGGCAGAUGGGGGUGGGGAGUGGCGGCUGGCGGCUCUUUGGCUCGCAAAACACCUGAUCUCCCCAUGCGGCAACCGAGACCAGCGCAGUGCGAGGGUGGGGUGAGGGGGUGCGAGCGAGAAAAUACGCACGGCCCCCUACCCAAAACGCGGUGGAAGCCAAGGUAAGGAAGCCGGAGGGACGGGGACGCCUAAAUGCGGCGGGAGCCACCCGGGAACGGUUUCCUCCUGCGGCGCGCCGGUACGAAGCCGGAACUGGCGAGGAAGGGGACUGAGAGGGAGAGGAGUCAGUGCGGAGCAGCGGGCAGCGGGCAGCAGAGAUGGAAAGGCGAGAAUUUCCUGGAGGUUCCACGCGCGUCUUGGAAGCCAUAAAGGCAAGGUGUCCCGACGCUGCGCCUCCAACCCGCGCCGCCGCCCAAAGGGGCAGGGUGGACACCUAGGAGCAGCCUAAAUGGCUGAACUCUGACACACCUUCGGCUCCCCACUGUUGGGUGAGGACACCCCCCGGCCGAAACACCUGGAACCACAGACGCACCCUCAGCCCAGCGCCCCCUCUGGCUCGCCAGAGCACUGCCUUCUAAGCCCAACUUUGGGGGCCCCAGGUAAGCCUAGCGCAACCGGAUGGGGAGGUUGCGCAGGUCUGAAAGGCCCGGAGCGGCCAGCUUGUCACGCGCGUGCUCCGUGGGGAGGCAAGCCUGGCCCGAGGCCCAUCAGAAAGCACCUCCCUCGCUUGGUCCUCACCUCUUAAGGAAAAAAGAGAUCCCCUUUACACAACCAGAGCGAGCAAUUAAGAACACUCCACCCUCAAAUAUUUGCAUUUUUCAGAAGGCUUUCUGAGGCGAAAUUAGCCGAAGGGGAAGGAAAUGCAAAUGUAGGAAUUUCAGGCACCUAGGAGCUCAGCCCUAUCGAGUGUGGGCCCCUUACUCUUAUCCAAGCUCCGAGCAAAAGACCACUUUGCUGCUGGACGCACUGAGCCACGUGGGUGCACGCUAGAAACAGGAAUUCAGAGUCAGAUCUGGGAAAGUUUUGAUUUUCAGCCUUCCGACCUUUUUGCUUUUAUGUUGAUCACGUGAUUCUCCUAAGACUGAAACAUAAAAGUCAAAGAAACAAGUUGGAUUUGGUCUAUUCCUAGAAAAACACAAAGGAUGCACACCGACUGCUAACCACGGUUAUCCCAAGUGUGGGACUGGAGUGUGGGAAGGAGGGAGAUGAAUUUUAUACCCUUAUACUGACUCUGCAUUUUGUAUUUUUCCAGUUAUAUUAACUGUCAAUUUAGAAAGCUAAUAAAACAUUUUUAAAGAAAUACAGAAAUUAGAAAUUCUUCAAGAACUCUAGAGAAAGUAUAAAUUAAUAAACAAAGCCUAUGCUUUCAUUCUGCAUCAAAAUAAUUAUUCCUGAGUCCAUGUUCCUUGGUUUAAAUAAAGGUAUCUCUAGGCUGCUGUUCUGAUUAAAUGCUGUGGUGGGACAAGACUGACUUCUGAAGAUUUUUCUGUGCCGUCAGACUGACAUACUGUUUUCUAUGCGCGUGUGUCUUCCCUUUAAAUGGGCACCCAGUAGCCACAGACAUACUUUUAGGGACUGCCUGCCAAGGAGUUUUUAGUAAAGGAACUGCUACAGUGUAAGUUGGGAUCCAACAAGGAAAUUAAGCUUGUGUCCUUUGUAGCUGCCCAGGCCC